GUGUCAGCAGCCGCGGUAAUACGUAGGGUGCAAGCGUUAAUCGGAAUUACUGGGCGUAAAGCGUGCGCAGGCGGUUAUAUAAGACAGAUGUGAAAUCCCCGGGCUCAACCUGGGAACUGCAUUUGUGACUGUAUAGCUAGAGUACGGCAGAGGGGGAUGGAAUUCCGCGUGUAGCAGUGAAAUGCGUAGAUAUGCGGAGGAACACCGAUGGCGAAGGCAAUCCCCUGGGCCUGUACUGACGCUCAUGCACGAAAGCGUGGGGAGCAAACAGGAUUAGAUACCCUGGUAGUCCACGCCCUAAACGAUGUCAACUGGUUGUUGGGAAUUCACUUUCUCAGUAACGAAGCUAACGCGUGAAGUUGACCGCCUGGGGAGUACGGCCGCAAGGUUGAAACUCAAAGAAAUUGGCGG
rnacentral:rRNA from 1 species